rnacentral:rRNA from 1 species
GACGAACGCUGGCGGCGUGCUUAACACAUGCAAGUCGAACGGAAGGGCCCUGCUUUUGUGGGGUGCUCGAGUGGCGAACGGGUGAGUAACACGUGAGUAACCUGCCCUUGACUUUGGGAUAACUUCAGGAAACUGGGGCUAAUACCGGAUAGGAGCUCCUGCUGCAUGGUGGGGGUUGGAAAGUUUCGGCGGUUGGGGAUGGACUCGCGGCUUAUCAGCUUGUUGGUGGGGUAGUGGCUUACCAAGGCUUUGACGGGUAGCCGGCCUGAGAGGGUGACCGGCCACAAUGGGACUGAGAUACGGCCCAGACUCCUACGGGAGGCAGCAGUGGGGAAUAUUGCACAAUGGGCGGAAGCCUGAUGCAGCAACGCCGCGUGCGGGAUGACGGCCUUCGGGUUGUAAACCGCUUUCGCCUGUGACGAAGCGUGAGUGACGGUAAUGGGUAAAGAAGCACCGGCUAACUACGUG